GACGAACGCUGGCGGCGUGCUUAACACAUGCAAGUCGAACGGAAAGGCGCUGCUUUUGCGGGGUGCUCGAGUGGCGAACGGGUGAGUAACACGUGAGUAACCUGCCCUUGACUUUGGGAUAACUUCAGGAAACUGGGGCUAAUACCGGAUAGGAGCUCCUGCUGCAUGGUGGGGGUUGGAAAGUUUCGGCGGUUGGGGAUGGACUCGCGGCUUAUCAGCUUGUUGGUGGGGUAGUUGCUUACCAAGGCUUUGACGGGUAGCCGGCCUGAGAGGGUGACCGGCCACAUUGGGACUGAGAGACGGCCCAGACUCCUACGGGAGGCAGCAGUGGAGAAUAUUGCACAAUGGGCGGAAGCCUGAGACGACGACGUCGCGUUCGGAAUGACGGCCUUCGGGUUGUAAACCGCUUUCGCCUGUGACGAAGCGUGAGUGACGGUAAUUGGUAAAGAAGCACCGGCUAACUACGUG
rnacentral:rRNA from 1 species